rnacentral:tRNA from 1 species
UCCCUGUAGAUCAAAUGGUAAAGAAUCUGCCUGCAAUGCAGGAGAUCCAGGUUUGAUCCCUGGGUUGGGAA